rnacentral:rRNA from 1 species
GAUGAACGCUGGCGGCGUGCCUAAUACAUGCAAGUCGAGCGAACGGACGAGGAGCUUGCUCCUCUGACGUUAGCGGCGGACGGGUGAGUAACACGUGGAUAACCUACCUAUAAGACUGGGAUAACUUCGGGAAACCGGAGCUAAUACCGGAUAAUAUUUUGAACCGCAUGGUUCAAUAGUGAAAGACGGUUUUGCUGUCACUUAUAGAUGGAUCCGCGCUGCAUUAGCUAGUUGGUAAGGUAACGGCUUACCAAGGCAACGAUGCGUAGCCGACCUGAGAGGGUGAUCGGCCACACUGGAACUGAGACACGGUCCAGACUCCUACGGGAGGCAGCAGUAGGGAAUCUUCCGCAAUGGGCGAAAGCCUGACGGAGCAACGCCGCGUGAGUGAUGAAGGUCUUCGGAUCGUAAAACUCUGUUAUUAGGGAAGAACAAAUGUGUAAGUAACUAUGCACGUCUUGACGGUACCUAAUCAGAAAGCCACGGCUAACUACGUG